UUCCAUUGUUAAUACAACACG
rnacentral:piRNA from 1 species